AGCUCGUGUCGUGAGAUUGUUGGGUUAAGUCCCGUAAGAGCGCAACCCUUGUCCUUAGUUACCAGCACGUUAUGGUGGGCACUCUAAGGAGACUGCCGGUGACAAACCGGAGGAAGGUGGGGAUGACGUCAAGUCAUCAUGGCCCUUACGGCCUGGGCUACACACGUGCUACAAUGGUCGGUACAAAGGGUUGCCAAGCCGCGAGGUGGAGCUAAUCCCAUAAAACCGAUCGUAGUCCGGAUCGCAGUCUGCAACUCGACUGCGUGAAGUCGGAAUCGCUAGUAAUCGUGAAUCAGAAUGUCACGGUGAAUACGUUCCCGGGCCUU
rnacentral:rRNA from 1 species